UUAUAGACCUGAUGGAAGUGAAAUCCUUUUUUGUUGCCAGCUACAUUGAUUUGCUGUCGGAAUGCUUUACGAAAUAGCUUAAAAACAAAACACUGAGCAGAGCCGAAUCACCGGUUCAUGCGCACAACAGAAUCGCAAAAAAGAUUGAACGAACAGCAGGCGUACCG
rnacentral:sRNA from 1 species